rnacentral:rRNA from 1 species
CCUACGGGAGGCAGCAGUGAGGAAUAUUGGUCAAUGGGCGGAAGCCUGAACCAGCCAAGUCGCGUGAGGGAUGACUGCCCUAUGGGUUGUAAACUUCUUUUAUAUGGGAAUAAAACAGGGUAUGCAUACCCUCUUGUAUGUACCAUAUGAAUAAGGAUCGGCUAACUCCGUGCCAGCAGCCGCGGUAAUACGGAGGAUCCGAGCGUUAUCCGGAUUUAUUGGGUUUAAAGGGUGCGUAGGCGGAAUGCCAAGUCAGCGGUAAAAUCGCGGGGCUCAACCUCGCUCCGCCGUUGAAACUGGCGUUC